rnacentral:lncRNA from 10 species
CUCCCACCAUGUCCCCGCAAACAGCACUGAAUUUAUUUCCAGGCAACCAGUGAGCAAGGCUGAGAACUUGUCCCAGGUUACGAGACUCCCAGGUACAGUCAUGUGCCGCAUAAUGACAUUCAGUCAAUGACAGACUGCAUAUAUGAGGUGGUCCUGUAAGGUGAUAAUGGAGCUGAAAAAUUCCUACUACUGAACGACAUCAUAGCCAUUGUAACAUCAUAGCACAACCAAUCACCUUUUCUAUAUUUAGAUAAGGAGUUCAUAUGCUGGAAUGAUAGUGACACAGGAGUUUAACACUCCUACAGUAUCCAGAGCCUGGAUCCCUGAGUCAUCAGAUGGAGAAGAACUACUCAGGAGAGUCAUCCAACCUUCAUAGACAGUGGCAUGAGUGGGAAUUAA